GCAGCAACAAAGGGGGUUAAAUUCCGAGAAGAAGAAGCUCGAACCAGCGCUGUAGAUGGAGAAAAAUGACAGAAAUUGAGGCUUUAAUCAAGUUUAAUUGUGGUUUAAUUAGCCGGGUAGUGCCAGCGUGGGUCCGAGCAAGGGAGUCAGCAUCUAGCAGCAAAGUCGGUAUGGUGUACAGGCAGUCCCGUCAAUUCCUGUCAACUCUAAUGUUUGAGAAGGAUUUAAUCUAUCAUUUUGUACUAUGCCAGGUCUUUUCUCGAGUCUCGUGUAUGUCGGCACAAGAAUUUGUGUUUAUUUAUUUAUCUUGUGACCGUUGUGUUAGCGGGGUACUCGUAGUGCAUGCAUGUCUUGAGCUUUGCUUC